rnacentral:rRNA from 1 species
CAAUAGCGUAUAUUAAAGUUGUUGCAGUUAAAAGCUCGUAGUUGGACUUCUGAUGUGGAGGGACGGUCCGCCUCACGGUGAGCACUGAUUCUUCACGUCUUCCUCUCGUAGUCUUUUGGCGCACUUAGUUGGGUGCCUUUAGAAUAUGGGACCUUUACUUUGAAAAAAUUAGAGUGUUCAAAGCAGGCGUUUGCUUGAAUAUAUUAGCAUGGAAUAAUGGAAUAGGACGCUGGUUCUAUUUUGUUGGUUUUGAGAACCAGAGUAAUGAUUAAUAGGGACAGUGGGGGCAUUCAUAUUUCAUUGUCAGAGGUGAAAUUCUUGGAUUUAUGAAAGAUGAACUUCUGCGAAAGCAUUUGCCAAGGAUGUUUUCAUUAAUCAAGAACGAAAGUUAGGGGAUCGAAGACGAUCAGAU